CCCCACUACAACCAUCAAAGGUGUAGCCAUGUUGAAUGCUGAAAACAUCUCAUCUGAAAACUCUGCAACUACAUCUACCACUCCAUCCCCCACUACAACCAUCAAAGCCUAUACUGCUUCUGAGUCUACAUCACUGCAAACAACACAGGAUGUUUCUGCAACUACAUCUACCACUCCAUACCCCA